rnacentral:rRNA from 1 species
AACUUAAAGGAAUUGACGGGACCCCCGCACAAGCGGUGGAUCAUGUUGUUUAAUUCGAUGAUACGCGAAGAACCUUACCAGGUCUUGACAUCCCCCGCGAUGCUUUAGAGAUAAAGCGGAGGUAUUCGGGGAGACAGGUGGUGCAUGGUUGUCGUCAGCUCGUGUCGUGAGAUGUUGGGUUAAGUCCCGUAACGAGCGCAACCCUUGUCCUUAGUUACCAGCACGUUAUGGUGGGCACUCUAAGGAGACUGCCGGUGACAAACCGGAGGAAGGUGGGGAUGACGUCAAGUCAUCAUGGCCCUUACGGCCUGGGCUACACACGUGCUACAAUGGUCGGUACAAAGGGUUGCCAAGCCGCGAGGUGGAGCUAAUCCCAUAAAACCGAUCGUAGUCCGGAUCGCAGUCUGCAACUCGACUGCGUGAAGUCGGAAUCGCUAGUAAUCGUGAAUCAGAAUGUCACGGUGAAUACGUUCCCGGGCCUU